AGGAAAUCAAGAACUACAGUUAAAUCACAACACACAAGAGGAGAGGAAAAGAGGAGGAAGUGGACAAGGGCAAGAGUAGGUGGAGGCCGGCUGACAGCAGAGGCGGCAAAAGGCUUCUGCUGCAUUUACCUGCAGCCAACCAACAUCCUGAUGUGGUUACAAGUGGCAAAAUAAUUAUGUGCCAGCUGGUAGGGGCAUAACAUUGAGACAAGGGUCACUAAUUCAUGGCAUGGAGGUCAGCUGCUGGGAGCUGCUGCAAAAGGAAAAGGCCCACACAUGAUCAAAAAUAUCAAGACUGCAGGUCCCAGGCAUACCUCCUUAAGCAAUGAGUUGCAAAGUCUGGGCACCAUGACAGAGAGCUGGUUGUCCCUGAGCGGAGAACGGCGACGUGACCAGUGUACAGAAAGACAGAGACAGUGCAGAGUAGAAGCAGUCCGUCUUCAGGCUGUAUUGUUUCAUGCUGCAGAUUAAAGGAUCAGAAGAUAUGCCUAUGUUCAAGAUAUGCCUAUGAGAAGAAUAGCAAAUGCAAUUAAGAUCCUUAUAUUUUCUUUGUGCUCAGAUAUGUAUCUGAUGUUAUAGUAGUACUUCUUUUGUCAGUUGUAAGCAGUGUUCUCAGUGCGAUAUGUUUAAGAGUAAUCGAGCAUUCAGCCUCUUCUUAGAUGGUAGUUAAUGCAGUAGAGAAACAUUCUCUUUGAGUUAUAAUUAAGAUAAUGAAUACAUUAAUCCAUAUCCAUUCUCUAGUUUGGAAAGUUUUCUGCAUUAAUUAUUUUGCUGGCUCAAAAAUUAACCACAAAAUGAGGUUACUCCACAUUAAACAUUGACUUUUUUUCUUUUUCUUUUUUGGUUGGGUAUAACUUGCUGUACUGCGGAACCAAUAUUUUAAUAUUAAAAAACCUAA